rnacentral:lncRNA from 1 species
CGUCCAUCUUUUACCAUUCCAUACCAAGGUGCACAACUUUACAUGGGGGUCAUCAUUAUGGUAAAGUUCCAUCAACAUUGGUCCAUAGGAUUCCGAGAAACACGACGGACAAAAUGUGUGGAAGAAGAAUAAGAAAAACUAGAUUUGUCAUUGCAAGCAAUAGCGGAUGGCACCCUUCCCACAUUGCCACUAAACUGCAGCCAUUUUGAAAAUUUAAAACAGUAUUUACACAUAAAUACAUUACAACAUAAGUGUUUGUAAAUUUUUUAGACAGCUUUCAGCAUUUUUUCAAUUUUUCACAUUUUUGCAGUUUCCAUGGCAACGGCGGCCA